AGUGAACGCUGGCGGCGUGCUUAACACAUGCAAGUCGAACGAGAACGGAUUAUAGCUUGCUAUAAUUGUCAGCUAAGUGGCGCACGGGUGAGUAAUGUAUAGGUAAUAUGCCUCUUACUAAGGGAUAACAAAUGGAAACGUUUGCUAAUACCUUAUACUCCUUAUUAACAUAAGUUAAUAAGGGAAAGAUUUAUUGGUAAGAGAUUAGCCUGUAUUGUAUCAGUUAGUUGGUGGGGUAAUGGCUUACCAAGACUAUGACACAUAACUGGUUUGAGAGGAUGAUCAGUCACACUGGAACUGAGACACGGUCCAGACUCCUACGGGAGGCAGCAGUGGGGAAUAUUGCACAAUGGACGAAAGUCUGAUGCAGCAACGCCGCGUGGAGGAUGACACAUUUCGGUGCGUAAACUCCCUUUAUACGAGAAGAUAAUGACGGUAUUAUAUGAAUAAGCACCGGCUAACUCCGUGCCAGCCGCCGCAGUAA
rnacentral:rRNA from 1 species